ensembl:lncRNA
CUUUAACUCAGUAAUCAGUCUCCCAGUGGAAACUGUGGGCUUUUUCAAGCAUUGUGUGUUUAAUUCUGUUUCUGACUUAAAGGGACUGUCUCUGAUGAGCACAGGAGAGAAGUACUUGUGAUACAAGUCUAAGGAAGUCGAAGCUUCCGCUAAGAGACACAGCUACCUAGUGAUAUCUGCUUUUUACAUCUGGAGAACACUGCUGUGUGGGUAGCACCUCACUGGCAGAGCUACCUGAAGAAAAGCAAGAGACUCUGCACCCCGAGAGCAAAGAAGAUUCUUCAUCUCAUCUGAGAGGAAAGGAGGAGAAAAGUUGCACAGCACUGCAAGGACGAAGCACAUGCAUGCUAAGGACAAUACCUUGCUCAAAUGUGCACAUGCAUCCAUCCCAUAAUGCUUACAUAAUGUCUGAGAACCUGCAGUGAGUCGUGUCCUGAGCUGUCACUUCUGAUUCAGGUUUGUGGAGUAACCAUGUGGUCUUGAUGCACUGAAAGCCACUGACAUUUU